CUCCUACUCCGUAUACAAGGCCUGACAUCACCUCAUCGGACAAAGGAGAUAUUAUUUUAGAAGGUAGCAGACACCCUUGUGUUGAGGCACAAGACUGGGUGAAUUUUAUACCAAAUGAUUGUAAGCUUAUCAGAGGAAAAAGUUGGUUUCAAAUAAUAACAGGGCCUAACAUGGGCGGGAAAUCAACAUUCAUCCGGCAGGUGGGCGUGAAUAUUUUGAUGGCACAAAUUGGUUCGUUUGUUCCAUGCGACAAAGCCAGCAUAUCUGUUCGUGAUUGCAUUUUUGCUCGUGUUGGUGCAGGUGACUGCCAAGUGAGUUGUAUUCCAUAUUUUUGGCUC